rnacentral:rRNA from 1 species
GGGUUGUGAGGUUAAGCGACUAAGCGUACACGGUGGAUGCCCUGGCAGUCAGAGGCGAUGAAGGACGUGCUAAUCUGCGAAAAGCGCCGGCGAGGUGAUAUGAACCUUUGACCCGGCGAUGUCCGAAUGGGGAAACCCAGUGUGAUUCGUCACACUAUCGUUAACUGAAUACAUAGGUUAACGAGGCGAACCGGGGGAACUGAAACAUCUAAGUACCCCGAGGAAAAGAAAUCAACCGAGAUUCCCCCAGUAGCGGCGAGCGAACGGGGAGCAGCCCAGAGUCUGAAUCAGCUUGUGUGUUAGUGGAAGCGUCUGGAAAGUCGCACGGUACAGGGUGACAGUCCCGUACACGAAAGCACACAGGUUGUGAACUCGAAGAGUAGGGCGGGACACGUGGUAUCCUGUCUGAAUAUGGGGGGACCAUCCUCCAAGGCUAAAUACUCCUGACUGACCGAUAGUGAACCAGUACCGUGAGGGAAAGGCGAAAAGAACCCCGGCGAGGGGAGUGAAAAAGAACCUGAAACCGUGUACGUACAAGCAGUGGGAGCACCUUCGUGGUGUGACUGCGUACCUUUUGUAUAAUGGGUCAGCGACUUAUAUUCUGUAGCAAGGUUAACCGUAUAGGGGAGCCGAAGGGAAACCGAGUCUUAACUGGGCGUUAAGUUGCAGGGUAUAGACCCGAAACCCGGUGAUCUAGCCAUGGGCAGGUUGAAGGUUGGGUAACACUAACUGGAGGACCGAACCGACUAAUGUUGAAAAAUUAGCGGAUGACUUGUGGCUGGGGGUGAAAGGCCAAUCAAACCGGGAGAUAGCUGGUUCUCCCCGAAAGCUAUUUAGGUAGCGCCUCGUGAACUCAUCUUCGGGGGUAGAGCACUGUUUCGGCUAGGGGGCCAUCCCGGCUUACCAACCCGAUGCAAACUACGAAUACCGAAGAAUGUUAUCACGGGAGACACACGGCGGGUGCUAACGUCCGUCGUGAAGAGGGAAACAACCCAGACCGCCAGCUAAGGUCCCAAAGUCAUGGUUAAGUGGGAAACGAUGUGGGAAGGCACAGACAGCCAGGAUGUUGGCUUAGAAGCAGCCAUCAUUUAAAGAAAGCGUAAUAGCUCACUGGUCGAGUCGGCCUGCGCGGAAGAUGUAACGGGGCUAAACCAUGCACCGAAGCUGCGGCAGCGACACUAUGUGUUGUUGGGUAGGGGAGCGUUCUGUAAGCCGUUGAAGGUGUGCUGUGAGGCAUGCUGGAGGUAUCAGAAGUGCGAAUGCUGACAUAAGUAACGAUAAAGCGGGUGAAAAGCCCGCUCGCCGGAAGACCAAGGGUUCCUGUCCAACGUUAAUCGGGGCAGGGUGAGUCGACCCCUAAGGCGAGGCCGAAAGGCGUAGUCGAUGGGAAACAGGUUAAUAUUCCUGUACUUGGUGUUACUGCGAAGGGGGGACGGAGAAGGCUAUGUUAGCCGGGCGACGGUUGUCCCGGUUUAAGCAUGUAGGCGGAGGUUCCAGGUAAAUCCGGUACCUU